rnacentral:lncRNA from 1 species
AACUCCUGACUGUAACCUAACCAAGGGACAAGUUUCUCUGUGCACAACAGGUUUGGUGAAGUCCAACUUCACUUGUACUUGUCUCUGAUGCAGUAAAUCUUAGUAUCUGUCACUAUGCUCACUUCUCUCCCAAAUCACCUACUAAACAUCAGCUUGGUGGGAGACAUCCUGUGCCCUGGCUAAUUCUCACUUGGGAAAAUGUGUGUUUACUUGCUGGCCAGCCAGCAGGCAGGGGACAGCUGCAGCUUUUUCUUGGCAGGAGCAGGAAUGUAGCUCCCCUCUCUCCCUUCUCACUAUGGAAUUUCUCUUUCCCUUCAAACAUGUAGAAACACCAUGUUUUUGAGACAGCUAGGUUUAACAGGAGAAGCUAAAAUCACUCAAAGGCUUCACUCAUUAUCAAAGUGAGGCAACACAAUCUCGAAAUUGUAAAAUGAGAUUUCAGUAUGCUGCAUUUUUGGUGAUGAAAAGGUGUGUGGGGAGGUGGGAUGUGCAGGGAGCAGAUGGCUCUGUCUGCAUCUGCCUUGCUGUUUGCUGGGCCCCCUCCCCAUUCACCUGGCCUAAAGCUGAGUGUUUGAAACCUCUCCAGCUGCAGGAGGCUCCUGGCACCACCUCAUGCACUUGAAGGUGCACUGACUUUUUCCCAGAUCACAGGUUCUUGCAGAGCUGCUCACUCUGUUUGGAUACAGCCUCCUGCAGCCUUUGCUCCUUGCUUUAUAACAGCAUCUGCUGUGCUGGCUUGAUAAAGCAUAUCUGCCUGUGACUGGACUGUCCUUCCUCUUCAGUGUCUUGAUCUUGGUGUUUUCCAUUUAAUAUUUGAAGCGCUCUCUGCAGAUCCCAGCUCUCCCUGUCUCACCCAAGGGUAGGCAGUCCUUGACCCAUCACACCACGGUAGUCUGGAGAAGUCAAUGCAGGAAGCAACACAGCACUGGAAUUUUGAACAGAAUUAUGUUUUUUCACCCUCAGUAACAGGACAUCUCCCAUGCUUUGUGCACUCACAUGGAGCAGAGCAUUAAGGCAGCAGGCAUGUGCCUUAGCUGGAGGCACUGCCAGCGAUCUGCCAGUGUACUGCACACAGCUUGGAAGUCACAGCCAAGAUGUAGAAUUAGGGUACAUUCCUAGCACAAGAUUUUCUCAGUUAGCAGGGGAUGGGUGCCCUGAGGCUGGGAUUGUCACACUGGCUUGGUGGGUCCUUGCACAAUGAAGCUGCUGUGUGUUGGAGACAGCAGAGCGCUGGUGCUGUCAUGUACUUGUGGUGAGAGUGUUGAGGAUGGCUUGUUAUCUGUGCUUGGAGGAAGGAUUUGAUUAGAAACUGUCUCACAAAUGUGUGGUUAUUGAAUGAGUUGCUCCUUUAGUAUGCAUGAGCCAUCUCCACAUACGUGACAAGUGCAUCUGUCUUGGGCAGGCAGCUGCUCUAAAGGAAAGCAGAUGAGCUUUCCUCAUCACAAGCUUUUCCUCAUCAAGCUUUUUCUAAAUUGCUCCCUGCAUGGAGCAAUUCUACAACAAUAUUAAACACAGCAGCAGGGGUGAGUCAAGCAGAUCUUGUCAAAGCUGCCCUAUUUUUUCUCUUUUUGGUUUUAUUAUAAAUUGAAUUCACUGUGCCACAGGGAACAGAGCUGUUCUCAGCACGAUUGGUAGCAACAAAUAGCCACCCAGGAAAAAUAUGUAUUGUGUGGUAACUGGGAAGAACCUCCUGUUCUCAACAUCUUCAGCCUAUCUGGGGCUUGUUGCCAUGAAAUUGUGGAGCUUAACUAAAGCAUGAUUGGGCUGUGAGAAAAUCCCUUUAGCCACUGGUUAACUGAGCUUUACCACACUGUGUGUGUGUCGUUGUCUUCAGAAGUUGGUGAGACCAUAAAUUUAGCAAGAUGGAGUGUCCAGCUCAGGUUCUUAAAUGGAAAACAAGGCAACCUGGUGCUGGAAUCAACAGUGAUGAGGGAAACUUGGGUGUUACUGUCCAGACAUAAACCAGUCCUGAGAUGCUGGAGGACAGGUGUGCAGGCAGUUUGUGGUUCUUGCACCUCUUUGGGAAGUGUCUGGUGUUGGUCUGGAUAAGAGAUGAGAUGAGGCAGCCCUCGGACUUGACAUGGAGGCCUUGACAGCACUCUGCCUGGCCUGGGGCUCUGCAUAGCUUUCUGUUGCGAGAGCGCAUCUCCCAUUUGCACAACUUUGCUUUGCUAAUAUCAAGAUAAUUCUCGGUGUUGUUCAACGUCGGUUUUUGCCCAAACCAUGAACAGCAGUUUAACAGUUACUGUAGCCUCAGAUUUGUAAAACUUGUGGGCAGCAGGUGAGCUGUACUGGAACAUGGAGGGUCUUUGAAGCAAACACCAGCCCGGUUCUUGGAUAACUUGGGCUGCUAGCAAGUAGUUGUCCCACCAGUUACUUGUCUUGGAAACUUCAGUUGUCCUGUGGAUGACACAACUUCUAAUUUGAAUUAAUGUCAAAGUAAAGGGUGCCUGAAGAAAUAAACUACCUUGGCUGUUUGUGUUGCAGUGAGUUCUCUGCAACUUGAAGUUUUUCUUUCCUGCAGACCCCCAAUUUGCCAAUGCUCAGAUCUUGGCUUCCACCUCUGGAGUGUGCAGUGACCCCAGCACAGACCUGGCCUGCCCAGGGCAGGAAUGAGUGAAGAGCACAGCUGGGCCCUGCUGGGCAAGAGAAGGAGGACUUGGAGAUGGCUGUGCACCAGUGAUGCAGGUAAGGGAGGUAAGGAGGCAAGAUGAGGCUGCUGGAACCUCAAUGGUCUUAGGAUUCCUCUGGUCUUUCUGCAGCCUGCAAAGUAGGUCCUUGCAGCCUCUGUCUCUGUUCCUGCGCUUGCCCAGACACUGCUGGGUUAAGUGGACAGGAAAUCCUCCCUAGGAGGUGACUUAAUUACAACCAGACAAAGCCUCAAGGAUCAGGGCCUCCAGGUAAGCCUCUGACAUCUCUGGUUGCUCAGCCCAGUGGAGUUGGGACCAUGCAGGGAACUGGUUUCACAGCUCUCUUGUGCUGGCUGAGGUUGUGCUGUGGGGGACAGGAAAAUAGCCCAGUGUCCCAGCAUGAAUCAGCCAUCCAUUCAUACCCAGCUUCUCCAGCAGUACCAGGCAGUCCUGCACGGAGAUGGGCUGCAAGGAUAAAGGACUGACUCUCUUGUGACAGGAGGGUUCAUGCCAGAUGUGGCUGACUGCUGUUGGUGACAGGAGAAAGAGACUUGGACUGAAGAGCUUUCCUACGCUCUGGGUGUUCAGGGCUGAAGAUCCAGUCACUACAUCACUGUCCAAGUGCUUUGGGUUGGAAGUUCAGGCUCCAUCUCUAAGAAUUGAGGAGACAAGCCUACAAACAAGAAUCUUCUGACUUGGUGCCUUUUCAUAUUUGGUUUUGCAAUUCUCUUGUGUUUUAAAGGAUUUUUGCUAGGCUAGGAUAUGAUUUACUCUUGGCUUCCUUUUCCAUUUGUUUCAAGCUGAACUCCAUGAGGGCACAGUGUUGUACUGUUGUGCUGACUGCCUGCCAGUGGCUUUGAACGUGAUGGCCAUGCUUCAGUUCAUUGAAAAGCUCAAAGAUCAGUGAAGCUUUUAAAAGUUCCUAACAGAUCUCUGAAACCACAAAGCCAGCUGAUAGAAACCUUGCCAUCCACUGACCAAGAAACAGGCUGUAGCAGACUUGAACUGUGGCAGACGUGAGAAAAAAAAAAACCAAACCAGAAACUAAUUAUCCAAAUACUAAAUCCAUGAGGGACCUGGUUUCCUUAGGUCUGCUGUUGAUGGAGGUCCUUGCACGGCAGAGAAAACAAAAUCACUCACCAAGUAGAAACUAAAUGAGUGGAAAAAAUUUCUGGAUUGCUUGCAGCUAUUUGCCAGUAGUGUAAGGCAGGAAAAGGUUAAACAUUAAUUUCUAUUUAUCUCUUUUGUACUUUUUUUCACUUGUCCAGUGCUAAUUCAGUGUAGCAGCCUGGAGGGUGGAUGGCACACACAGUGCUGGGGAAAGAGAUGCUUUUGGGUGAGGAUAUAGUGUGAAUGUUCACCUUUGGGGGUAUCUUGCCAGGCCAGGGCUGCUGUUGCCAGUCAGGCCAAAUGUCACUGAGCUGUUGGGUGAGGGUUUGGCCUUGGCAGCCAGGGUUGCUGCUGCUGUGGAGUUACCCUGCUGCAGCCGGGCCCAUUCAGUACUGUGUGCCUGGACAGAUGAGAAGGUGAUGACUUAGCCUGUGCUAUAACCCCUGCCUUGGGUUUCUCCAAGCCUGUCAAUUGUGAGUCACUAUUUGUUUAUUUACAAAGCACACAGAAAUGAUAUCAAUACUAAGGCUGUUACAGACACUGCUGUUUGGACAUCAGACUGUGUUUGUAGAGCAGAGGCAGAGCAAUUGCACAAUCUAUGUAAGUAGUCAACCAUUCCUAAGAAAACCACUCAGAUAUCUCAGGUUUUCUACCUGGUCAAUUGCUUGAGCCAAAUGACCUGAUUCUCUCCUUGCUUUUACAAUGUAGAGGGUUUGAUUUUCCUGCUGCAAAGGUGUUUUACUGUGUGUGGGCUUUGUGUCAUCUUUCCACCACCCCUACUGCAUAAAAGCAUUAGAUCAAAAACUGUAAGAACACCACAUCCAUACAGGUGCAUUUCACUUGGGAAGGACAGGGGUUGCAUAAAAGAUAUGUUCAACUUAAUUUAACGUGAUUAUCCAUGAUUUUAUUUGUUAAUGCUAAAGCUUCCUCUCCACAGUCUAAGCCCAGAACCCCUUUGUGAAUGCUGGUUUCACCAGCACAGCAGGGACCAGAGCUCAGCUCAGGGGCAGAGUCUGUACCACACUGAACAAGGUAAAAGAGCUCAUGGUGGGGUUGGCACCAGGAACCUUUACCUUAUAAUUAUGACAUCUGGAGGUGAUAUGAGGGUACCUCUUUAUAGUAGCAAGGAAAUGUUUCUGUAACUGUGCAAGAAACAUAUUGUCAGCACUAACAGUAAAAUUAUGCUUUUGCUGUUGACUUUGUAAGAUCAAAGCAGCCCCCUCCUUGUGACAGAAAAUCUGCUCUAGCAUAAUCCUCAGCUAAGAUAACGGGCCACAGGUAGGUGUUAGUUGUUUGGCCUAGCUUAAGAGAGCUGGGAAUCUCUGUUUAUAAUUAGAGUAAAUAAGCUUGCUGGAAAAUCGUCAUCCUCUUCUUCUUUGGGUCAUUUUUAUCCAUGACACCCAUGAUUGCAACAUCAGUGUGAUUAAUUCCAUGCAAGGGAUUUAUCUAAAAUGUCUUUUCAUGCAAGUUUAGAUCAUUUGCUUGCACAGUGUUGUAAUACUUUACAAACAAGAAGCAGAGCAGCCCUGUGUCUGCCCUCCUUGGGGAUGGUGGUCGGUCUUUUUAGGCUCACAAGAGACAGAAGGAGGAACUGAGCACUCUGAGAAGACACUUUGAGAAAUGAGCUUGUGAAAUCCCACACUGCCAAAUGAGGCUUUGUUUUGCACAAACAACACUGAGACUUGAAUACUUCAGUUUUGGCUGACUGUAUGAGUCAAGUGAGUCAGAGCCAAUGUCCAUCCAGCUAGCAGUAGACCCCAAACAAAGAUGCUGGUGUGCACUGUGCUCCUGGCAAUCCCCUGAGCCAGAGGAUAUGGACCAGGAGUUAAAAAAAAAAAAAAAAAAA